UGUCGAUGAAGAGCGCAGCCAACUGUGUGAGUUAAUGUGAACUGCAGAUCGUUUGAACAUCGACAUCUUGAACGCAUAUUGCGGCCAUGGGUUAGCCUGUGGCCACGCCUGUCCGAGGGUCG
rnacentral:rRNA from 1 species